rnacentral:lncRNA from 1 species
GGAACUGAUGGGACUUUAGCCAAUGUACCAGUUAGGGUGUUGGAAAGAUAAUGGUAUGCAAGGGGAACCAGGUUGCUACAGAGGUUUUGCUCGAGUGGGAAAACACCUUUCAAGAGAACUCCACCUGGGAAGACUUGCAGCAACUCCAACAACAAUUUCCUACAUUUGAUCCUUGAGGACAAUGAUCAUUUUAAAAAAG